rnacentral:rRNA from 1 species
UAGGGAAUCUUCCGCAAUGGACGCAAGUCUGACGGAGCAACGCCGCGUGAGUGAAGAAGGAUUUCGGUUCGUAAAACUCUGUUGUUAGAGAAGAACAGCGCAUAGAGUAACUGUUAUGCGUGUGACGGUAUCUAACCAGAAAGCCACGGCUAACUACGUGCCAGCAGCCGCGGUAAUACGUAGGUGGCAAGCGUUGUCCGGAUUUAUUGGGCGUAAAGCGAGCGCAGGCGGUCAAUUAAGUCUGAUGUGAAAGCCCCCGGCUCAACCGGGGAGGGUCAUUAGAAACUGGUUGACUUGAGUGCAGGAGGGGAGAGUGGAAUUCCAUGUGUAGCGGUGAAAUGCGUAGAUAUAUGGAGGAACACCAGUGGCGAAGGCGACUCUCUGGUCUGUAACUGACGCUGAGGUUCGAAAGCGUGGGUAGCAAACAGG